CAGUCGCCGCGGUAAUGCGAAGGGGGCUAGCGUUGCUCGGAAUGACUGGGCGUAAAGGGCGCGUAGGCGGCGAUCAAAGUCAGGCGUGAAAUUCCUGGGCUCAACCUGGGGGCUGCGCUUGAUACUUGGUUGCUUGAAUGGGGAAGAGGGUCGUGGAAUUCCCAGUGUAGAGGUGAAAUUCGUAGAUAUUGGGAAGAACACCGGUGGCGAAGGCGGCGACCUGGUCCUUGACUGACGCUGAGGCGCGAAAGCGCGGGGAGCAAACAGGAUUAGAUACCCCCGUAGUCCCUGUCUCUUAUAC
rnacentral:rRNA from 1 species